UACAGAGGUCUCGAGCGUUAGGCGGAAUCACUGGGCUUAAAGCGUGUGUAGGUGGUUCGUUAAGUACCUUGUGAAAUCCCACGGCUUAACCGUGGAACUGCUUGGUAUACUGGCGGUCUUGAGCCAGCUAGGGGCUACCGGAACAAAUGGUGGAGCGGUGAAAUGCGUAGAUAUCAGGAGGAACACCGGUGGCGAAGGCGGGUCUCUGGGCAGUAACUGACGCUGAGGAGCGAAAGCGUGGGGAGCGAACAGG
rnacentral:rRNA from 1 species